rnacentral:tRNA from 3 species
GUCGCCAUCGUCUAACGGUUCAGGACAUCGGGUUCUCAUCCCGAAAAUUGGGGGUUCGAAUCCCCCUGGCGACACAA